rnacentral:lncRNA from 1 species
ACUUGGGAGUUCACUAUAAUCCCUAGGAUUACAGCCGGUUGUUUUACAAGUUCACAACCCAACUUGUUGUUUUUACGAGAUCACAACGAACUCGGUCGGUUUUCACAGGCUCACCGACUAGAACCACCCGAUUGUUUUUCCGGGAUCACAAUCGAACCCUUACACCGUUGGUUUUUAACUUCGGCUCACCAACAAAUCUU